rnacentral:rRNA from 1 species
AAAUUGAAGAGUUUGAUCAUGGCUCAGAUUGAACGCUGGCGGCAGGCUUAACACAUGCAAGUCGAACGGUAACAGGAAUCAGCUUGCUGAUUCGCUGACGAGUGGCGGACGGGUGAGUAAUGUCUGGGAAACUGCCUGAUGGAGGGGGAUAACUACUGGAAACGGUAGCUAAUACCGCAUAACGUCGCAAGACCAAAGAGGGGGACCUUCGGGCCUCUUGCCAUCGGAUGUGCCCAGAUGGGAUUAGCUAGUAGGUGGGGUAACGGCUCACCUAGGCGACGAUCCCUAGCUGGUCUGAGAGGAUGACCAGCCACACUGGAACUGAGACACGGUCCAGACUCCUACGGGAGGCAGCAGUGGGGAAUAUUGCACAAUGGGCGCAAGCCUGAUGCAGCCAUGCCGCGUGUAUGAAGAAGGCCUUCGGGUUGUAAAGUACUUUCAGCGGGGAGGAAGGGAGUAAAGUUAAUACCUUUGCUCAUUGACGUUACCCGCAGAAGAAGCACCGGCUAACUCCGUGCCAGCAGCCGCGGUAAUACGGAGGGUGCAAGCGUUAAUCGGAAUUACUGGGCGUAAAGCGCACGCAGGCGGUUUGUUAAGUCAGAUGUGAAAUCCCCGGGCUCAACCUGGGAACUGCAUCUGAUACUGGCAAGCUUGAGUCUCGUAGAGGGGGGUAGAAUUCCAGGUGUAGCGGUGAAAUGCGUAGAGAUCUGGAGGAAUACCGGUGGCGAAGGCGGCCCCCUGGACGAAGACUGACGCUCAGGUGCGAAAGCGUGGGGAGCAAACAGGAUUAGAUACCCUGGUAGUCCACGCCGUAAACGAUGUCGACUUGGAGGUUGUGCCCUUGAGGCGUGGCUUCCGGAGCUAACGCGUUAAGUCGACCGCCUGGGGAGUACGGCCGCAAGGUUAAAACUCAAAUGAAUUGACGGGGGCCCGCACAAGCGGUGGAGCAUGUGGUUUAAUUCGAUGCAACGCGAAGAACCUUACCUGGUCUUGACAUCCACAGAACUUUCCAGAGAUGGAUUGGUGCCUUCGGGAACUGUGAGACAGGUGCUGCAUGGCUGUCGUCAGCUCGUGUUGUGAAAUGUUGGGUUAAGUCCCGCAACGAGCGCAACCCUUAUCCUUUGUUGCCAGCGGUCCGGCCGGGAACUCAAAGGAGACUGCCAGUGAUAAACUGGAGGAAGGUGGGGAUGACGUCAAGUCAUCAUGGCCCUUACGACCAGGGCUACACACGUGCUACAAUGGCGCAUACAAAGAGAAGCGACCUCGCGAGAGCAAGCGGACCUCAUAAAGUGCGUCGUAGUCCGGAUUGGAGUCUGCAACUCGACUCCAUGAAGUCGGAAUCGCUAGUAAUCGUGGAUCAGAAUGCCACGGUGAAUACGUUCCCGGGCCUUGUACACACCGCCCGUCACACCAUGGGAGUGGGUUGCAAAAGAAGUAGGUAGCUUAACCUUCGGGAGGGCGCUUACCACUUUGUGAUUCAUGACUGGGGUGAAGUCGUAACAAGGUAACCGUAGGGGAACCUGCGGUUGGAUCACCUCCUUACCUUAAAGAAGC